rnacentral:rRNA from 1 species
GGUGAGAAUCCCGUCUUUGACACGGACUACCGAGGCUUUGUGGUAUGCUCUCAAAGAGUCGAGUUGUUUGGGAAUGCAGCUCAAAAUGGGUGGUAAAUUCCAUCUAAAGCUAAAUAUUGGCGAGAGACCGAUAGCGAACAAGUACCGUGAGGGAAAGAUGAAAAGAACUUUGGAAAGAGAGUUAAACAGUACGUGAAAUUGCUGAAAGGGAAACGCUUGAAGUCAGUCGCGUUGGCCGGGAAUCAGCCUUGCUUUUGCUUGGUGUACUUUCUGGUUGACGGGCCAGCAUCAGUUUUGACCGGUGGAAAAAGUUCAGGGGAAUGUGGCAUCUUCGGGUGUGUUAUAGCCCUUGUUCGUAUACAUCGGUUGGGACUGAGGAACUCAGCACGCCGCAAGGCCGGGUCUUUGACCACGUUCGUGCUUAGGAUGCUGGCAUAAUGGCUUUAAUCGACCCGUCU